rnacentral:rRNA from 1 species
AACCUCCGCAAUGUGAGAAAUCGCGACGGGGGGAUCCCAAGUGCCAUUCUUAACGGGAUGGCUUUUCAUUAGUGUAAAGAGCUUUUGGAAUAAGAGCUGGGCAAGACCGGUGCCAGCCGCCGCGGUAACACCGGCAGCUCUAGUGGUAGCAAUUUUUAUUGGGCCUAAAGCGUCCGUAGCCGGUUUAAUAAGUCUCUGGUGAAAUCCUGUAGCUUAACUGUGGGAAUUGCUGGAGAUACUAUUAGACUUGAGACCGGGAGAGGUUAGAGGUACUCCCAGGGUAGAGGUGAAAUUCUGUAAUCCUGGGAGGACCGCCUGUUGCGAAGGCGUCUAACUGGAACGGUUCUGACGGUGAGGACGAAAGUUAGGGGCGCGAACCGGAUUAGAUACCCGGGUAGUCCUAACUGUAAACGAUGCGGACUUGGUGUUGGGGUGGCUUUGAGCUGCUCCAGUGCCGAAGGGAAGCUGUAAGUCCGCCGCCUGGGAAGUACGGUCGCAAGACUGAAACUUAAAGGAAUU